UACGUAGGGUGCAAGCGUUGUCCGGAAUUAUUGGGCGUAAAGAGCUCGUAGGCGGUCUGUCACGUCGGCUGUGAAAUCCCGAGGCUCAACCUCGGGUCUGCAGUCGAUACGGGCAAACUAGAGUAUUGCAGGGGAGACUGGAAUUCCUGGUGUAGCGGUGAAAUGCGCAGAUAUCAGGAGGAACACCGGAGUGGCGAAGGCAGGUCUCUGGGCAUUAACUGACGCUGAGGAGCGAAAGCUGGGGAGCGAACAGG
rnacentral:rRNA from 1 species